rnacentral:lncRNA from 1 species
AAAAUUGUAGCAGUCAGUUUAUUCAGGAGCUAAGGCUAAUGAUUGGGACACUAAAUCAAUCUGCAACGGCAUUUUCAUCUGAGAAGGAUGCGCUGCGAGCUUGAUCAUGUCGGAGUUCGCCAGAGACCUUGAUGCCGGCGAUCACCUGAAAGCGCACUCAAAACUUGCGAUGAACUUUGGAUUUGGUGCUGCAUAAACUGAGCAGCGUUUUCUGUUAUAUUGACUGAGUAUUUAAAGGAAAUCCAAAGCAAAACGGGCAGCUAAUCUCCCGGAACGUGCCGUGCGCAUGCCUCUACUUGGCCACGUCAUCCCAUGGCCUUCGCAC